rnacentral:tRNA from 1 species
GCAGGGUUGGUAGAGUGGUCAAUUACAUCAGACUGUAAAUCUGACGGCGUACGCCUACGGGGGUUCAAAUCCCUCACCCUGCACCA